rnacentral:tRNA from 1 species
AUUAUUUUGGCAGAAAAGUGCAAUAAAUUUAGAAUUUAUGAAUAUAUUAAAAAUAAUAUAAAUAAUA